GAAUAUUGGACAAUGGGGGAAACCCUGAUCCAGCCAUGCCGCGUGAGCGAUGAAGGCCUUAGGGUUGUAAAGCUCUUUCAGCUGGGAAGAUAAUGACGGUACCAGCAGAAGAAGCCCCGGCUAACUCCGUGCCAGCAGCCGCGGUAAUACGGAGGGGGCUAGCGUUGUUCGGAAUUACUGGGCGUAAAGCGCGCGUAGGCGGGCAUUUAAGUCGGGGGUGAAAUCCCGGGGCUCAACCCCGGAACGGCCCUCGAUACUGGGUGCCUGGAGGUCGAGAGAGGUGAGUGGAAUGGCGAGUGUAGAGGUGAAAUUCGUAGAUAUUCGCCGGAACACCAGUGGCGAAGGCGGCUCACUGGCUCGAACCUGACGCUGAGGUGCGAAAGCGUGGGGAGCAAACAGGA
rnacentral:rRNA from 1 species